AUUCGUGCUAAUAUUGCGUUUUACAAACAAAAUCCUGGUCGUGAAGUGAUAAAUAAUGAAAGAACAAACAUCACCAUAAGUAGAAAUCCUCAAUAUCGUAAUGUUACAAUGAAAAUACGAAAUAUCAACAUCAAUGAUUCUGGAACUUACAGAUGUAGUGAAAAAAAUGCUCUCAGUAAUGAAUAUGCUGCUGUAACGUUGAAUGUACGAGGAAUAUAUCCUCCUGUAAUUUAUCAGAUGAAGAGAUUCUACAGU